CACACACACACAUAACUUAUGGUAUAAAUCAACACAGAAUGACCUCACUUUGUUGUAUGGAAAGUCUCAUUAGUAAGGAAGCAUAUUUGAAUUUUCUGAGUCAAGACCAAUAGUGACUGUUUGGGGUUUUGUUAGGUUAGGUUAGGUUAAGUUUAGGGUAUCUUCAAACACAUGAUAGCCAGCACCUUAUGGUAUAAAUCAACAAAGCAUGACCUCACUUUGUUGUAUGGAAAGUCUCAUUAGUAAGGAAGCAUAUUUGAAUUUUCUUAGUCAAGACCUAUAGUGACUGUUUGGGGUUUUGUUAGGUUAGGUUAGGUUAAGUUUAGGGUAUCUUCAAACACAUGAUAGCCAGCACCUUAUGGUAUAAAUCAACACAGAAUGACCUCACUUUGUUGUAUAGAAAGUCUCAUUAGUAAGGAAGCAUAUUUGAAUUUUCUGAGUCAAGACCUAUAGUGACUGUUUGGGGUUUUGUUAGGUUAGGUUAGGUUAAGUUUAGGGUAUCUUCAAACACAUGAUAGCCAGCACCUUAUGGUAUAAAUCAACACAGAAUAACCUCACUUUGUUGUGUUGAAAGUCUCAUUAGUAAGGAAGCAUAUUUGAUUUUUCUGAGUCAAGACCUAUUGUGACUGUUUGUGGUUUUGUUAGGUUAGGUUAAGUUUAGGGUAUCUUCAAACACAUGAUAGCCAGCACCUUAUGGUUUAAAUCAACACAGAAUGACCUCACUUUGUUGUAUGGAAAGUCUCAUUAGUGAGGAAACAUGUAUGGAUUUUCUGAGUCAAGACCUAUAGUGACUGUUUGGGGUUUUGUUAGGUUAGGUUAGGUUAAGUUUAGGGUAUCUUCAAACACAUGAUAGCCAGCACCUUAUGGUAUAAAUCAACACAGAAUGACCUCACUUUGUUGUAUAGAAAGUCUCAUUAGUAAGGAAGCAUAUUUGAAUUUUCUGAGUCAAGACCUAUAGUGACUGUUUGGGGUUUUGUUAGGUUAGGUUAAGUUUAGGGUAUCUUCAAACACAUGAUAGCCAGCACCUUAUGGUAUAAAUCAACAAAGCAUGACCUCACUUUGUUGUAUAGAAAGUCUCAUUAGUAUGGAAACAUAUUUGAAUUUUCUGAGUCAAGACCUAUAGUGACUGUUUGGGGUUUUGUUAGGUUAAGUUUAGGGUAUCUUCAAACACAUGAUAGCCAGCACCUUAUGGUAUAAAUCAACACAGAAUGACCUCACUUUGUUGUAUAGAAAGUCUCAUUAGUAAGGAAGCAUAUUUGAAUUUUCUGAGUCAAGGCCUAUAGUAACAGUUUGUGGUUUUGUUAGGUUAGGUUAGGUUAAGUUUAGGGUAUCUUCAAACACAUGAUAGCCAGCACCUUAUGGUAUAAAUCAACACAGAAUAACCUCACUUUGUUGUAUAGAAAGUCUCAUUAGUAAGGAAGCAUAUUUGAAUUUUCUGAGUCAAGACCAAUAGUGACUGUUUGGGGUUUUGUUAGGUUAAGUUUAGGGUAUCUUCAAACACAUGAUAGCCAGCACCUUAUGGUAUAAAUCAACACAGAAUGACCUCACUUUGUUGUAUAGAAAGUCUCAUUAGUAAGGAAGCAUAUAUGAAUUUUCUGAGUCAAGACCUAUAGUGACUGUUUGGGGUUUUGUUAGGUUAGGUUAGGUUAAGUUUAGGGUAUCUUCAAACACAUGAUAGCCAGCACCUUAUGGUAUAAAUCAACACAGAAUGACCUCACUUUGUUGUAUAGAAAGUCUCAUUAGUAAGGAAGCAUAUAUGAAUUUUCUGAGUCAAGACCUAUAGUGACUGUUUGGGGUUUUGUUAGGUUAAGUUUAGGGUAUCUUCAAACACAUGAUAGCCAGCACCUUAUGGUAUAAAUCAACACAGAAUGACCUCACUUUGUUGUAUAGAAAGUCUCAUUAGUAAGGAAGCAUAUAUGAAUUUUCUGAGUCAAGACCUAUAGUGACUGUUUGGGGUUUUGUUAGGUUAAGUUUAGGGUAUCUUCAAACACAUGAUAGCCAGCACCUUAUGGUUUAAAUCAACACAGAAUGACCUCACUUUGUUGUAUAGAAAGUCUCAUUAGUAAGGAAGCAUAUUUGAAUUUUCUGAGUCAAGACCUAUAGUGACUGUUUGGGGUUAUGUUAGGUUAUGUUAGGUUAAGUUUAGGGUAUCUUCAAACACAUGAUAGCCAGCACCUUA